rnacentral:rRNA from 1 species
AUUGAACGCUGGCGGCAGGCUUAACACAUGCAAGUCGAACGAGUGGCGGACGGGUGAGUAAUGCUUGGGAAUCUAGCUUAUGGAGGGGGAUAACUACGGGAAACGGUAGCUAAUACCGCAUACCAUCAGAUGAACCCAUAUGGGAUUAGCUUGUAGGUGAGGUAACGGCUCACCUAGGCGACGAUCCCUAGCUGGUCUGAGAGGAUGAUCAGCCACACUGGGACUGAGACACGGCCCAGACUCCUACGGGAGGCAGCAGUGGGGAAUAUUGCACAAUGGGCGCAAGCCUGAUGCAGCCAUGCCGCGUGUAUGAAGAAGGCCUUCGGGUUGUAAAGUACUUUCAGCGAGGAGGCGUUACUCGCAGAAGAAGCACCGGCUAACUCCGUGCCAGCAGCCGCGGUAAUAC